GGCUGCCUCGUUUUACACUGGAGGAGACGUAUGACCUGAACACAGUCCUGAGCAGCAUGAGCAUGGUGGACGCCUUUGAUCACACAAAGUGUGACUUCUCUGAAACCCUCCAAGAGCACAUGAUCUUCUUGUAUAGAGAUAAGACAUCAAGCAGCAGCCUUUUUUCUCAGUCAUGGACGGCAGAGAGAAGAGAGCGCUUCACUUCUUGAUCUUCGCUGCUUAUCUCGUGGUCUCAUCUUCACCUUCUGCAGGUCUGAUCAGAUUAGCUGGAUCUGGGUCCACUCAGUGCUCUGGAAGAGUUGAAAUCUAUAACUCUUACUCUUACCCUUACUAUUCCUGGGA